AUCAAACCCAUGAGCAGUGUCCUGGGUCUGAACAGCGUCAGUUGUAUCCCUCAGAUGAGUCUGGAGCUGUGAUUCCUUCAGAUCUGAGGCUGCUUUGGGUCCAGGUUAAGGAUCUUCAACUGACAGCACACAGAACGGGGAGGUAACUUGGUGAAUCCACGUUGACUGCUCCUGAUACCUUCUCUUCCUCCAAUUGCUAGAAGAUAACAUGCAGGACAAUACACCUUUCCAGGAACGGAGGAAUGUACUGCUCCAAAAAUGCUAGCUAUCAACCCUAAUGCAGCCUCAAUGGUCAAUCGGUGAAAGCUUUUGGUUCUGUUUGUUACUACACAAGUUAACGUGAUCAAGUUUGCUGGUCAACACAACUGCUAUGCAAGACUGCAGGUCCCCUUGCUGCCCAGAUCUCACUCUGAGCCCAGGGCCAUACUGCAGCAUAGAAUCACGGGAUCAUUGAGGCUGGCAGGGAAAAGACCACUCAGACCAUCAAGUCCAACUCAUCACCACCACCAUUCCCACUCACGGGACCACAAAGGUUGGAAAAGACCUCCAAGACCACAAAGUCCAACCCGUCCCCACCGUACCCAUGAAAGCACGUCCCUCAAGGCACGGAUGGCCACCACACUUCAACCAGCACCAAAGCUGCUCCAUCCCGCCGUGUCGGAUGAGCCGUGGAGGACAUCUCUUCCCCUCGCAGGACCUGGAGAGGGCAGCAGAGAAAAGCUCAGCAGCCCCGGCUGCGAGCGGAUGGAGCAGGAGCAGCUGCGUUGCAGCAUCCAAACACACUUCUCGGUGAGGAGGGUAAUUUAGAGCAAUUACACCGAUUAUUAUUGCUUUUCUAAUUAGUGCUUUUCCUACAGAAUUAGUGGAGUGUUUAUCAGGAGCCGCUUGUUGCCAAUAGCUUAACUGCUUCAGUACCAGUUUUUAUCAAACAUUAGAAGGGUUUUUUUUUUAAUUAUUAUUUUUUUAUUUUUUUCCUGUGCAUAACUGGUUUUGUUAUCUGGUUUCACAUAAAAGCCCCAAUUAAAUAUUCAUUUUGCUUUGUUAUAUAUGGCAUGAAAUUUUCAUGAGCUGUACGUUCUCCUUGAAAUUUGGGGGGAGGAGAGGGGCGAAGUAAUCCCUUACACACAGGCACGGGAGAGUUGGUGAUGGGGCUCCUUCAGGAGGGGACAAAGAUAGAUAAAAUAGAGAAAAAUACGUUUCUUCUCCGAAAGGGCAGUGAUGCAUUGGCACAGGGUGCCCAGUGGAGUGGUGGAGUCCCCAUCCCUGGAGGUGUUCAAGAACCGUGGAGAUGUGGCACUUUUGGGGACAUGGUCAGUGGGCACGGUGGAGGUGGUUUGUGGAUAUUGGAGGUCUUUUCCAACCUGAAUGAUUCUAUGACUCACUGAUGUCACUCACUGGUGUCCCUUGCAGUG